rnacentral:rRNA from 1 species
UACGGAAGGCAGCAGUGGGGAAUAUUGCACAAUGGGCGCAAGCCUGAUGCAGCCAUGCCGCGUGUAUGAAAAAGGCCUUCGGGUUGUAAAGUACUUUCAGUCGUGAGGAAGGUGUUAAGGUUAAUAACCUUAGCAAUUGACGUUAGCGACAGAAGAAGCACCGGCUAACUCCGUGCCAGCAGCCGCGGUAAUACGGAGGGUGCGAGCGUUAAUCGGAAUUACUGGGCGUAAAGGGCACGCAGGCGGUUAAUUAAGUUGGAUGUGAAAUCCCCGGGCUUAACCUGGGAAUGGCAUUCAAGACUGGUUAGCUAGAGUCUUGUAGAGGGGGUAGAAUUCCAUGUGUAGCGGUGAAAUGCGUAGAGAUGUGGAGGAAUACCGGUGGCGAAGGCGGCCCCUGGACAAAGGCUGACGCUCAUGUGCGAAAGCGUGGGGAGCAAACAGGGAUUAAUACC